rnacentral:rRNA from 1 species
ACGAACGCUGGCGGCGUGCUUCACACCUGCAAGUCGCACGGAAAGGCCCUGCUUUUGUGGGGUGCUCGAGUGGCGAACGGGUGAGUAACACGUGAGUAACCUGCCCUUGACUUUGGGAUAACUUCAGGAAACUGGGGCUAAUACCGGAUAGGGGCUCCUGCUGCAUGGUGGGGGUUGGAAAGUUUCGGCGGUUGGGGAUGGACUCGCGGCUUAUCAGCUUGUUGGUGGGGUAGUGGCUUACCAAGGCUUUGACGGGUAGCCGGCCUGAGAGGGUGACCGGCCACAUUGGGACUGAGAUACGGCCCAGACUCCUACGGGAGGCAGCAGUGGGGAAUAUUGCACAAUGGGCGGAAGCCUGAUGCAGCAACGCCGCGUGCGGGAUGACGGCCUUCGGGUUGUAAACCGCUUUCGCCUGUGACGAAGCGUGAGUGACGGUAAUGGGUAAAGAAGCACCGGCUAACUACGUG